rnacentral:rRNA from 1 species
CUACGGGGGGCAGCAGUGAGGAAUAUUGCACAAUGGGGGCAACCCUGAUGCAGCAACACCGCGUGGGUGAUGAAGGUCUUCGGAUCGUAAAACCCUUUUCUGGGGGAAGAGAUAGGACGGUACCCCAGGAAUAAGUCCCGGCUAACUACGUGCCAGCAGCCGCGGUGGAAACGUAGGGGGCGAGCGUUAUCCGGAAUUAUUGGGCGUAAAGCGCGUGCAGGCGGCUUAGUAGGUUGGACGUGAAAGCUCCUGGCUCAACUGGGAGAGGUCGUUCAAAACCGCUGGGCUUGAGGGCGGAAGAGGGGAGUGGAAUUCCCGGUGUAGUGGUGGAAUGCGUAGAUAUCGGGAGGAACACCAGUGGCGAAAGCGGCUCCCUGGUCCGCAUCUGACGCUCAGACGCGAAAGCGUGGGGAGCGAACGGGAUUAGAUACCCCCGUAGUC